rnacentral:tRNA from 1 species
AUACACAGCCUUCGACAGAGAACCCAGAAGACAGAUUGGACGCGUUUCGAGCGAUGAUAUCAUGUCCAACAUCAUCA